CGCGAGAGCAAGCGGACCUCAUAAAGUGCGUCGUAGUCCGGAUUGGAGUCUGCAACUCGACUCCAUGAAGUCGGAAUCGCUAGUAAUCGUGGAUCAGAAUGCCACGGUGAAUACGUUCCCGGGCCUUGUACACACCGCCCGUCACACCAUGGGAGUGGGUUGCAAAAGAAGUAGGUAGCUUAACCUUCGGGAGGGCGCUUACCACUUUGUGAUUCAUGACUGGGGUGAAGUCGUAACAAGGUAACCGUAGGGGAACCUGC
rnacentral:rRNA from 2 species